rnacentral:rRNA from 1 species
GAGGAAAGAGGGAGGCGUGCCUAAUACAUGCAAGUCGAGCGAACGGACGAGAAGCUUGCUUCUCUGAUGUUAGCGGCGGACGGGUGAGUAACACGUGGAUAACCUACCUAUAAGACUGGGAUAACUUCGGGAAACCGGAGCUAAUACCGGAUAAUAUUUUGAACCGCAUGGUUCAAAAGUGAAAGACGGUCUUGCUGUCACUUAUAGAUGGAUCCGCGCUGCAUUAGCUAGUUGGUAAGGUAACGGCUUACCAAGGCAACGAUGCAUAGCCGACCUGAGAGGGUGAUCGGCCACACUGGAACUGAGACACGGUCCAGACUCCUACGGGAGGCAGCAGUAGGGAAUCUUCCGCAAAGGGCGAAAGCCUGACGGAGCAACGCCGCGUGAGUGAUGAAGGUCUUCGGAUCGUAAAACUCUGUUAUUAGGGAAGAACAUAUGUGUAAGUAACUGUGCACAUCUUGACGGUACCUAAUCAGAAAGCCACGGCUAACUACGUG